CUGAAAUUUACUACUGGGACUCAAAAGAUGUAUGAAAUUUUCCCUAGUAGUCUUCAUUCAGGUAAUUAGCUUAUCCAUACAAGGCUGAACGCUACGCUACAGGAGGAGUUCUAAACCACCUCCUGUAAUUGGUCCUGAAGUCAAAACCUACUUCACUGAACAUGAAGCUGAAGGGAAACUGAAGAAUAUAGACUAGGAUUUCAACUUAAUCUGGGGAACUGUGGUAAGGAAUAUCCAUGUAAGUGGUUAACUGUAGCAGUAUGAUUUUAUCAUUCUUGCUUCAUUAUUACUUAAGUCGAGGAAAAACUGCAAAAAGUUCAGGUUCCUUUUGAGCUCACGCCUAUUCAUAUUCCUCCACAAUUUUUUAAUUCAUUGGCUGAACUCAACUGAAUCUGAUAAAUCCAUACAGGUCUCAGAGGGAAUGAAGUUUCAACGUAUGACACAGUAUAAGGGAAAAGCUGCUGUGCGAGUUCACGUUAUUGCACUAAAAGAUCUGCUUUAAGAUAGAGCCUUUCUACAUUUCCAGUGAAAGGAAAAGCUGCAGUCAGUAC
rnacentral:lncRNA from 1 species